AGCUGAUAUGUCACAAAGACACUCCAGAAGCCUAUGGAGAGGCCCACGUGGUGAGGAACUGAGGCCUCCAGCCCACAGCCACGGAGGAGUGAAGGCUUCUGCCAACUGCCCAGUGAGCAUGCAUGGAAGCAGUCUCCAACCUCGAUCAAACUGCAGAUGACUGCAGACCCCCCGCAUCUCGACAGCAAUCUCAGAAGAGACCCUGGGCCAGAUCUGCCCAGCUAAGCUGCUUCUGAAUUCCUGGCCCCCAGAAAGUGGAUUCCAAAGUGUGGUCCUUGGGGCUCUGUGAAGACUAUUCACUAUGACAACUUCCUUCAGGCCUCCCUCUGGACCCUGGGCCCUGAGGUCCCGAGUUCUGCUCCUCAAUGCCCCACCUCAGCCUUUCUAACUACGCCCUCCCCUACUUCUGCGCUGAGAAAAAGGCUGCUUCUUUGGGGCACAUGGGCCAAUUCCAGUGAUGCUGGCUCACCCAAGGGUGCACCUCCAGGGCUUGUUUCUCUGUCAGCUCCCAUUUGAGAGCAAAUGCUGCCACUGCAGGGUCCUCAAUGAGUCUCCAAGGAGCCCAGCUUCGGGGGAUCCCAGGAAGGGAGUGGGCAGAUGACAUGGGCCACCUGGGUGACUCCAUCAAAGCUGAACCUAUCUGCAGACUGAAGAGCUGUGCUUGGUAGAUUUUGUUUUUAGCAUGAUCACAACUGCUAUAGAUUCUACUUAUUCUGAACACAGCAGGAAUAAAGAUUUGUUUUUAUUGAUAAUUGGUUCAAUUCAAAAGCAAUCUUUAGACUUCUACUUCCUGCCAAGAUGAAAUAAAAUGUACCAGUCCUACCCUCUUGCCUGAAAAAGUUAAAACCAGACAAAAUAUAUGAAAGACAUUGGACAUCAGCAAAUCUUACAAGCAGACAGAAUAGAGUUAUGUAUAGAGGAACAAAGCUAAGAAUGACAUCAGAGUUUUCUUUGGAAACAAUGCAAGCCAGAAUAGUAGGUCAACAUCCUUAAAGUACUGAAAGGAAAAAAAAAGAAGAAACUGUCAACUUGGAAUUCUAUACCCAGUGAAAAUACCUCUCAAAAAUGAAGGCAAAAUAAAUAAAGACCUUUCAUACAUACAAAUGCUGAAAGAAUUCAUAACCAGCAGAUCUUCACUCUAAGAAACAUUAAAAGGAACUUCUUCAGGCAGAAGAAAAACGAUACCAGAUGGAAAUCUGGAUGUACACAAAGGCAUACAGAGUAAUUGGAAAUGAUAAUUACAUGGUAAUGAUAAUAUUAUCAUAUUGAUCAUAAUGAUCAUAAUCAUAAAUGAUAAUAAAGAUUUUUUUCCUAUUAUUUAAAUCUCUUUGAAAUAAAUCUUUGGGGACCCUCCCAAAAGGAGGUUAAGAGAACAAACACUAGGACAGUUAAACAAGGCAGACUAAACAUGAGCAUGUAUCUCUUUCACUUCAAUCUUAACAAAAAUGACAGAAAAAGAAUAAAAAGGCAAACACUCAUAAUCACAAUGAGAAUGGAAGAAGACAUGACAGCUGAUCCACACAGUUUUGAAAGUUAGGUGACUAGUAACUGACUUACCCGACUUGAGAAAGUUGAAGUCAGAGCUAGAGAAGGGAGACAUGAACAAGAAGCAAGGCAACGCGAGCCUCAAAUCCUCAGAAAGGCUUGGGACUUGGAAGCACCAGAUACCUUUGAAAGUUAAAAUGUGGGAUGUACAGAGAGCCAGAGGAUCUGUAAAAAGUCUUCAUAAAGAACUGUUAUACCCCGUAACUCCUCCCCAAGCCUGCGCUGUCUGGUAACAGCUCCUGCCUCACCCCGUGGAAGACAGGGGGUUACUCUCUGCAGAAGGUGAAUUGGAAAGGCUCUGGAUUUGGGGAUAUCAACAACAGCUAAUGGGGUGGUUGAGACACUAUUCUGACAGUUGAGAUUAAGUGAAAGUCCACAUACUUACCAUGAGUCUGGCUUAUACCUCCAGACACAGGUAUGGCUAAAAGAUUCCUUUUGGGAAACUGACCAGCCCAAGAGCAAAUACCUACAAAUAUCCACAAUGGGUGUCUCUCAACAAAGCGUAGCUGAGUAUCUGCCUAAUCUCUCUACAGAGAAGGCUGGAAGAUUAUAAGUAAGGCUUGUGCACUGACAAUAUUUAAGUGACUCAUUCCAAAAUAAGAAUAGACAGCCAAGAGUCAUCUACUUUCUGAAGAGAGCCUCUACAGUGGAAGAUUAGAUAAAACACAUAAACAGAGAAAAGGAACUUGGGGAAAAGAGUACAAGGAACAUGAGAAAAUGUCAGCAAAACUUAUACAUAAUAUUCUUAGAGUUAUAGAAGAUAUGGUAUCUGUGAAGUAGGAAUAACAAGCUAAAAAAAGAGCUUUUAAAAGUUAAAAGCUUGAUAACAAAAAUUAAAAAUUCAACAGACAGUUUAGAAAGUAUGUUUAAGAUAUCACUCAGAAAAUUAAAGAAAAAGAGAUAGAGAUGAGGAGGAAGGGCAGGGGGCGGGGGAGAGAUUUUGAGAUUGAUGGAUUUUGAUUGAAAACCACAGAGAAAUAACAUUAGAGCAUUAGCCCAGAAGUCCAACAUCUGAAUAAUCAAAAUCCAGAACAAGAAAAGGAGGAAAAUAUUUUUUCUUUCUUAAAGCUUGGCACCUGAGCUAGCAUCUGUUGCCAAUUUUUGUUUAUUUUUCUUCUUCUUAUUCUUCUCCCCAAAGCCCCCCAGUACAUAGUUGUAUAUUCUAGUUGUGAGUGCCUCUGGUUGUGCUAUGUGGGACGCCACCUCAGCGUGGCCUGAUGAGCGGUGCCAUGUCCACACCCAGGAUCCGAACUGGCGAAAAGCCGGGCCACCGAAGUGGAGUGUGCGAAAUUAACCACUGGGCCAUGGGGCUGGCCCAGGAAAACAUUUUUAAAGAAAGAAUAAAGGAAAAAUUUCCCAUAACUGAAGAACGUGACUUUCAGAUUAUAACAACCCAUGGAGUGCCUGGCACAGUGAAUGUAAAUUUACACAGUUGUGCGUGCACACACAUGCUCAAAAAAACACACACACAGAGCAAGGCACUUUAUCAUGGAACUUCAGAACCCUGGAAGUAAAGAGAAGACUCUAAAGGGGCAGGGAGUGGGGACAGGUCACAUACAAAGGAUAAGGAGCUAGUGUGGCAUCAGACUUCUCAACAGCAAUACUGGAAGCUAAAGAACAAUGAAAAAUGCCUCAACAUUUUAAAAGAAGCUGACUUCCAGCCUAGAAGUUUAUGCCCAACUAAAUUCAACCGAAUGUGAGGGUAGAAUAAAGCUACCUUAGGCAUGAUGCAGGUUGACUGGAUUGUCACUCUAUCUGCUUAGUUGACUCCAAUUUGUGGAGUUGUGAUGGUUGAUGAUGUGUCUCUGGAAGCUAAUCUUCUAGGGGACAGUGGACAAGGGAAAUACCAGCCCCCUGGGAGACAGACCCACGUGUAGGAGCAUGAACAGUAAUCAACCAAGUACUGCUCUCCCAGGGGGAGUUGGGAAGCACAGGGGGACAUUGGUUGUCGUAAUUACUAGGGGAUGCUAUUGCCAUCUAUUCCCCAAGGGCCAAGAUGCUAAAUGUCCUGCAGUGCAUGGGACAGCCCCUCAAGAAAGAAUUGCCAUCCCCGUAAGCUCAAAAGCACAUCCUUGAGAAAUGAUGAGACACUUUCUUUGGCUUUCACGCUGACGUUGCUUAUGCUUGAAGUGGGGCUGAGAGGGUGUAGACCGCUCUAGGGGGUGAGUUGGGUGAGGUAGAGAAGAUAGCUGAAUUGGGGAGAAUGGAGAUGAGCGAGAAUAUUCCAGGAGAUAAAAUACAGUGACUGAUUAAAAUAAACAAGCAUGCCACAUAC
ensembl:lncRNA